rnacentral:rRNA from 1 species
CCUACGGGUGGCUGCAGUGGGGAAUAUUGGGCAAUGGACGCAAGUCUGACCCAGCAACGCCGCGUGAAGGAAGAAGGCUUUCGGGUUGUAAACUUCUUUUAAGGGGGAAGAGGAGAAGACGGUACCCCUUGAAUAAGCCACGGCUCACUACGUGCCAGCAGCCGCGGUAAUACGUAGGUGGCAAGCGUUGUCCGGAUUCAAUGGGUGUAAAGGGCGUGCAGCCGGGCCGACAAGUCAGAUGUGAAAUCCGCGGGCUUAACCCGCGAACUGCAUUUGAAACUAUAGGUCUGGAGUGCCGGAGAGGUAAGCGGAAUUCCUUGUGGAGCGGUGAAAGGCGUAGAUAUAAGGAAGAAAACCAGUGGCGAAGGCGGCUUACUGGACUGUAACUGACGUUGAGGCUCGAAAGCGUGGGGAGCAAACAGGAUUAGAUACCCCAGUAGUC